UCAACCCAUUUAACCAUCUAACCCAUCAAAUUAAAUGAGUUCAUGGGUUGACCCAACUCAUUUGGUAAAUGAGUUGGGUCAACCCAUGAACUCAUUUAACUCUAAACUCAUUGGGUAAUGAGU